rnacentral:sRNA from 1 species
AGAAGUGGGAGAUGGUUGGAUUAG